CCCGCCUCCUACGUUGCAGUUUCCUGCUCCAUGUUCGAAAGUUCACCUGAGAAGUGUGUCCAGUGGUAAUACACUUUCCCACCACUUGUGGCAGUAAUGACAAGAUCAAACUAACAGAAGAAGUCCAAAAGUCAGUGAGAAGU